GCACGAGCUUCGUUCAUAUAACCAAAACUCUUUCUGUCGAAAAAUGUUUCACAUUCCUAAAAAAAAUCGAAAGUAGUGAAGAUGAAACUGAUUGUUUCUGGAUGUGUUUAUCGAAGAUUUAAUGUUCUUUAUCUCUCUUGUUUUCUAAAUUUUAUUGCUUACAUCCUCUCUGAUGACUUCUCUCUAUUUGUAGAAAGAAAUCGUG
rnacentral:lncRNA from 1 species